rnacentral:rRNA from 1 species
GGCGCACGGGUGAGUAACGCGUAUGCAACCUACCUAUCAGAGGGGAAUAACCCGGCGAAAGUCGGACUAAUACCGCAUAAAACAGGGGCACCGCAUGGUGAUAUUGUUAAGAAAUUCGCUGAUAGAUGGGCAUGCGUUCCAUUAGGUAGUUGGUGAGGUAGCGGCUCACCAAGCCGACGAUGGAUAGGGGAACUGAGAGGUUGGUCCCCCACACUGGUACUGAGACACGGACCAGACUCCUACGGGAGGCAGCAGUGAAGGAAUAUUGGUCAAUGGGCGGGAGCCUGAACCAGCCAAGUCGCGUUGAAAGGAAGUAAGGAUCUAUGGUUCGUAAAACUUCUUUUGCAGGGGAAUAAAGUGCAGGACGUGUCCUGUUUUGUAUGUACCCUGAGAAUAAGGAUCGGCUAACUCCGUGCCAGCAGCCGC